UACGAAGGGGGCUAGCGUUGCUCGGAAUCACUGGGCGUAAAGCGCACGUAGGCGGCUUCUUAAGUCAGGGGUGAAAUCCUGGAGCUCAACUCCAGAACUGCCUUUGAUACUGAGGAGCUUGAGUCCGGGAGAGGUGAGUGGAACUGAGAGUGUAGAGGUGAAAUUCGUAGAUAUUCGCAAGAACACCAGUGGCGAAGGCGGCUCACUGGCCCGGUACUGACGCUGAGGUGCGAAAGCGUGGGGAGCAAACAGG
rnacentral:rRNA from 1 species